rnacentral:rRNA from 1 species
GGAACCGGAGCUAAUACCGGAUAAUAUAUUGAACCGCAUGGUUCAAUAGUGAAAGACGGUUUUGCUGUCACUUAUAGAUGGAUCCGCGCCGCAUUAGCUAGUUGGUAAGGUAACGGCUUACCAAGGCAACGAUGCGUAGCCGACCUGAGAGGGUGAUCGGCCACACUGGAACUGAGACACGGUCCAG